UACGUAGGGUGCGAGCGUUAAUCGGAAUUACUGGGCGUAAAGCGUGCGCAGGCGGUUAUGUAAGACAGGUGUGGAAUCCCCGGGCUUAACCUGGGAACUGCAUUUGUGACUGCAUAGCUAGAGUACGGUAGAGGGGGAUGGAAUUCCGCGUGUAGCAGUGAAAUGCGUAGAUAUUAGGAAGAACACCGGUGGCGAAGGCGGCCCACUGGUCCGGUACUGACGCUGAGGUGCGAAAGCGUGGGGAGCAAACAGG
rnacentral:rRNA from 1 species